rnacentral:rRNA from 1 species
UACGAAGGGGGCUAGCGUUGUUCGGAAUCACUGGGCGUAAAGCGCACGUAGGCCGAUUGGUCAGUUGGGGGAGAAAUCCCGGGGCUUAACCUCGGAACUGCCUUCAAUACUGCCAGUCUCGAGUGCGGAAGAGGUGAGUGGAAUUCCUAGUGUAGAGGUGAAAUUCGUAGAUAUUAGGAAGAACACCAGUGGCGAAGGCGGCUCACUGGACCGGUACUGACGCUGAGGUGCGAGAGCGUGGGGAGCAAACAGG